UGAACGCUGGCGGUAGGCCUAACACAUGCAAGUCGACCGGCAGCACAGUAAGAGCUUGCUCUUACGGGUGGCGAGUGGCGGACGGGUGAGGAAUACAUCGGAAUCUACUUUUUCGUGGGGGAUAACGUAGGGAAACUUACGCUAAUACCGCAUACGACCUACGGGUGAAAGCAGGGGAUCUUCGGACCUUGCGCGAUUGAAUGAGCCGAUGUCGGAUUAGCUAGUUGGCGGGGUAAAGGCCCACCAAGGCGACGGUCCGUAGCUGGUCUGAGAGGAUGAUCAGCCACACUGGAACUGAGACACGGUCCAGACUCCUACGGGAGGCAGCAGUGGGGAAUAUUGGACAAUGGGCGCAAGCCUGAUCCAGCCAUACCGCGUGGGUGAAGAAGGCCUUCGGGUUGUAAAGCCCUUUUGUUGGGAAAGAAAAGCAGCAGGUUAAUACCCCGCUGUUCUGACGGUACCCAAAGAAUAAGCACCGGCUAACUUCGUG
rnacentral:rRNA from 1 species